CUGUGACAACACUGUCAUUAUACAUGUAAUGUUAUUACUUUAUAUUUUUUUAUGUCAUUUUAUAGCCAGUGUCCUCAUUAUGGCCAGGAAGGCAUGAGAUGUUAACAAGUCUUUUUGAUGAUGAGCUGUCAGUAAUGCCAGAAAUUCAAGUUACUAGAGGGACAGUAUUAACACCAAGUCAACAAAAGGACACAGCCCAGCCAACUAAGAGAAGUAUAUGCCGUCAACCCCACCAGACUACUCCAAUAUUGGCCUUAUCACCUCAGCCAGAAAAGAAACAGUUGUCAACAAGUCACUAUCACGAUGAUGAGAUAUCGUCACUAUGAUGAUGAGAUAUCAGCUGAGCCAACUAAAAAAGCAAGCCCUGACAAGAGUAGUACUGCAGGACAAGGAGAAUUAAAAAAGUUGUGAUAUUUUAUA